AUUUAAGCCCAGCUGUUUCUUGACGAGUUGUCCAGACCAGGGAGUGGGGCACUUAGGGCAGAAAGCUGCUUCUCCCUGUGCUUCAUCGCAGCUGUCGUGUCGGACGACUCAGGUGUGAACCGGCACAGGUGCCUCACUGAGACGCCCACGUGGCUUUGGGCACCACGCUCCUCACCACAGAGGCCUCAGAAUUCUGUGGGCUCAUCGACUGGUGACUCCUAUUUAAAGCCUGUUGAGUUCCCGCUAUGGUGCAACGGGAUGGCUGACGUCUUGGGAGCCCUGGGACUCAGGGACAGAAGUAGCUGCCAAAUGGUCGGAGCAGCAGAAUACAGGUCUCUCGACCGUCAGGCUCAUCGCAGCGGGCCGCACCCUCGGCAUGUGGAGAUUCCCAGGCUAGGAGGUGAAUCGGAGCUUCGGCUGCUGGCCUGCGCCACAGCCACAGCAACGCAGGAUCCGAGCCACCUCUGCGACCUGCACCACAGCUCAGAGCAACAGCGGAUCCAUGAUCCACCGAGCGAGGCCAGGGGUUGAACCCUCAUCCUCAUGGACACUAAUCAGAUUCAUUUCUGCUGCACCACAGCAGGAACUCCUGAAGUUUCGUAAGUUUUGUAGAUGUCCCUUUUUCGUUCUUUUUAAUGGUUUUGAAAAGUUGGUCAGCCAGUGUAACAGGGGUUUGUGUGUAACAUGGACCAACCUAGAUUGUCUUUUGACUGGAGUAGCGAAACCCUCAUCUGAGCCUUCUAAGGAGUCGGAGUUCAGGAAAGGACCGUCUUGGUGGUUAGAGAAUGAUUCAGGAGGAAUUUCCUUUGUGGCUCAGUGGUUAACGAACCCGACUAGGAUUCGUCAACUAGCUGUGGCAAUGCCAGAUCCUUAAUCCAUGGUGCUAUAUAGCAGGAAUGCCACUAAUAGCUGUAUUAACUGACACAGAUCUGAAAACCUGGGCUUGUACAAACAGACGGUUAACUCAGAUUCCUUAGCAGAUCCCAGUGGAUCCUAACUUUGAUCAGGCAACUCCUUAUCUAAGGCCCUGAGUUCUGCUUGGGCAGAGUUCAGCCCUGUCUGCAAUAGGUUUCUCCUCGGAGGGAGCUGUAAUCACUUCUGAUUUUUUUUAUCCUUCUUUACUGGGGAAGAGGGAGCAGGAGGUGGAAGAGUCAGAAGAGAAAAAGAGGUAGUGUCCAUGCCAGGCAGCUGAGGUGGCAGAGGAGGUGCCGAGGGAAGGCAGUGCCAGCGCAGCGGCUCUUUCACGUUCUGACAGUUUCAGCAGUUGCUUGUUGUUUCCUGCAAAGAAGGUGCUCUAUCAGUUCCUCUUUUAGAGGUGUCUAAAUCCCAAUUAAAGUAAGAAUUGCAUUUGGUCUGUUUGAUCUUUUGGCCAGCUUUUUCUGUUUGUGCAGAAAUAUCAAUUUUGGGAUAUCCAGAGAACCCCAAUUUGGCCAUUUUAAGUGGAGAUCUCUUCAUAUAAUUAGGUAGGUGCUUGGAAAUAGGCGCGCCUGAAGUAGCGUACAUGAAUCUGGCUGGGGUGUGUGUUGGAGGUUAGUUUUGUGAUCCUCCUGUGUGUUUGAGAGACUCUCUUUCCUGUUUUAAGCUGACUCUACUGGGGGUAAACAUUUGCUAAUGAAACUGUGGUGAGCAGCGUGUUGCUUGUGGGCUCCACUCCGGGUGUCAGCCUCGUCGUCCGCCCUCUCACGUGGCUCGGUUUCUCCCUUGGGUGAUCUGAGAUCACUGUGGGUGCUCAGAUUACUGACGGAUCAGUUCUUAGGAGUGACCCCCUGGAUGAGCAAGUCCUUCUCUGAUGAGUGGGUUUCCCUUGGAGACACUGCAGGGUAUGAGUCCUCUGCCUCCACCAUUCCUGUAAUUUCGAGGUUGCCUGCGAAAGCUGUAACUGACCAGGAGGGUCUUGUUCUUUUUCUUGGGAGCAGAAGCUCUCAUGUGCUGUCUUCACUUUUAUCCCAACAGAUUCUAUUCAGGCAGCCAAAUUGAGGCAAAGCAUCAGAUCAGUCUCUUACCUGACCCCUCAGCCCAGGCCAAUCAGCCUCCUUCAACUGAGCAAACCCUGGUCCCCCUCAGCCAGCCGCCACCCCAGCGCCUUUUGACUGUGUGGGCAUUACCCAUCAGCAUCUUCCAGCCAGCUUCCCCCGCCCCAAUGUCUGUCACCUCUGUGGGUAUUUUCCUGGUGUCUUUCAACUAGGCCCCCUGCCCGGUACCUUUUAACUGGGACACUAGGUGCCUGGUAAACUCGGGAUCAUAAACCAACACAGGAAAUCUGAGAAACAAGAAGGACACACCCAAAUUUGUUUCGACCCCCCAGUGAGGUGGGAAGGUGCAAGGGGCUCCUGCUGUUACCCAGGCUCUGAUUCCUUGUAAAGUUCAGGCGAAGGAGAGACGUCUGCCAUGGGCCCCUUCGAGGUCGUCAAAACUGCCACCUGAAAAAGGCGCAGCGUGAGAGCCACAAGGAGAUGCAAGCACUGGGGCCACGAAGUCUUCUCGUGGAAGCAUCCGACGCUCUGAAGACCCCUUCGGCCGGUUUUCUCCGGCGCAGAGGCCUCACUCCUGACCUCACCCCCACCUCCUUUUAGGGCCACACCCACAGCAUAUAAACAUGCCUGGGCUAGGGGCCGAAUCGGAGCUUUAGCUGUCUGCUGACACCACAGCCACAGCCACACAGGAUUCACGCCGAGUCUGUGACCUACAGCACAGCUCACAGCAACGCUGGAUCCUUAACCCACUGAGCGAGGCCAGGGAUCAAACCUGCAACCUCAUGGACACUAGCCAAGCUUGGAACCACUGCGCCACAACAGGAACUCCUCCAGGUCAAGCGCGCAUCUGGUGCUGAGGGGCCAGGCUCAUCUCUCUGCCAGCCUGGGUGUGACCAGGAGCAGCCUGGGGUUCAGCAGAGGCAAGAGAGGCGGCCCUGAGGGCCGUGGGCACCGGAGCGGCCACGCAAAGCCCUGCGGCCCAACAUGGCUGGUCUGUGGGAGAAGAGGACAGGGCAGUGGCUGUGGAGACAGCUGGCCGCCUGCCGCUGCUGCCAACUCGGCCCCCUGGACACGUGCCCAACGGCUUCCACUGCUCUUCAGUCCAGCAGGAUCUCAGCCCCAGGUACCUGCCGAAGGCCCCAUACGUGUUGACGAUGCGGAGCGGGUGGAAGGAGCUGUUCAUGAUCUGCCGGGGGCUCAGCAAGUUGAGGACCACGGGGACGCUGAGCCCAGCGAUCAGCACGCCCAUCGCCAGGUUGACCAGGCGCCGUGCCACACAGCCUGCCAAGAGGGAUGGGUGCUGGGUGGGCUCCUGUCCCCAGGCUGGCCUCUGCACAGCCCCGAGGGAGGUGCCCCUGGCCCUGGUGGGAGGUGCGGGAGAUGCCCCACAGCCCCCUUCUCUCUAAGGACACAUCCCAGCCGAGGUGGACGCUGUCACCACAGCUCCCCCACGUCCUGGCCAAGAGCAGCCGUGUCUGGUCACUGUGCAUCCCUCCCUGGGAACCAGGACACGUGGUCCCUGUCAAGCAGAUGGGAGUCACGGCCCAGGCCGUCUCCUGGGCUGUCGGGGAGAGAGGACGGCUGGCUGCCAUCCGCUCGAGGGUUGACCACACCAGACACGGAGGCCACCCUGCUGCCCAGCCACGUCCAUCUUCAGGUGUCACCCACCGUAUGUCUGCACGGCCCUGGGCCCCUGGGCCUCCUCUUCCUGCAUCUUCAGGACUCGGUCCUUCAGGCCCCCAGGCCCCGAGGGAAACAGGAACGCCAGGGUGGCGUCGUCGAAGCAGGCGAGGCUGGGCACGAUGGUCAGCCAGUUGAGGAAGCUCAGGUUCCCGCUGACGAUGAGAACCACCUGGGGGACACACGGCACCUGAGCCCAGGCGGGGCGGAGGGGGACCCCUCCUGCUGCUGCAUUUCCCAUGCUCCACGGCGAUGCCCAGACUCCUCCCCCAGAGCUGCUGGCGAGGACCCCGCCCGCCGACACCGGACUCAGCCCUCUGAGGCUGCCUGGAGCUGCAGUGGAGGCCAUGAUGCAGGUAACAGCAGGGGGUUCUGCUCACCCAGCCUGUCUGCCCAGCGUGUCACCAGACUGCGCCCUGAAGCCGACUUCCGGAAAGUUCCUUCUGGCAACCCCUGGGACUUGUUUUAGUGACGUGGAAACAGCACUUUCUCCUUACUUUGACCCUGUGGUCAAGGGCGUGGGCAGGAAUGGGUGUGGGUUGUCUGAGGGGUGUGUUCACCUGAGGAGAAGAGAGGUUGCUGGGCUCAUAACCCCCUCCCUGCUCUGGGUGCCCCUCAUCAUGGAGCCCCGGGGACGCCAGGGCCAGCUGUGCAGUUUCCCACAGGCCCUGGGCCUGGCAGGAGCAAUAAACCCAGGUGAGCUUCCUGGGGACCACGGCGGGAGGACAGAGCCCCAGAGAUGCCCGAGAAACCCAGGCAAGGGGCUGCCAAUUUGAAGGGCCCGGUCAGUAAGCAGCACCUGUUCACCUACACACACGUGUGUAACACGCCCAACAUUAAAACCUCGACAGGUAAAAAGCAGAAUGGAUGGUACUCGAGUCUGAACUAGUGAUUUGCAAGAUGGACUUGAGACACCCUCCAGAGUGUGGUGCAAACGGGAAAAUGAUUCAGCAGAGUCCAUGGACCUGCCAGGACAAGAAUGAGGUAAAGAGAAUGGACACCCUUGAGGCAGAAAGAUACCGCGGCCUCAGGAGAAAAAGGGCUGCAGGGCAGCCACCAGAGUGAGACCCAGGCCUGUGCACAUUCGGCUCUUUCUUGUUUCCAAGGAUGAACCAGAAGUAAAACACCAAGCCAACGUCAUGCUCAAUGGAGAAAAGCUGGAAGCCCUCCCGCUCAAAUGUGGAGCACGACGAGGAUGCUCACUCCCAGCGCCGCUACUCAACAGAGUACGGGCAUCCUGGCCGCAGCCAUCAGACAGACAGAAGAAGUGAAAGGGCCAAA